AGUCAGAAUUGGGAUUCGAACUCAUGCCCAUAUCAGUGAACCAGAGCACUCAACUCCUACUAUGGGAUAAGCAUUAUUCUUGAGGCUGGCGCCUUAGAUCAAUCAGCCAUUCUGAC